UGUGUGGCUCUCAGGUGUGUGUGUGGCUCUCAGGUGUGUGUGUGGCUCUCAGGUGUGUGUAUUCUCAUUAGAUGUGUGUGAUGUAUGAAGUUGCUCUCCGGAGGUUAAGUGUUUAUUGAUCUUUGUUAAUAAAGUCAUGGGAACAAUG